UCCGACUUAACGUCGGCAGUCUCGUCAGAGUCCUCGGCUCUACCCGGUAGCAACUGGGAGCGGGGGUUGCGCUCGUUGCGGGACUUAACCCAACAUCUCACGACACGAGCUGACGACAGCCAUGCAGCACCUGUGCAGGGACUCCGAAGAGGGGUCCUGGUUUCUCAGGACUUUCCCCUGCAUGUCAAGCCCAGGUAAGGUUCUUCGCGUUGCGUCGAAUUAAACCACAUGCUCCACCGCUUGUGCGGGCCCCCGGCAAUUCCUUUGAGUUUUAGCCUUGCGGCCGUACUCCCCAGGCGGGGCGCUUAAUGCGUUAGCUGCGGCACGGAAGGAGUCGAUGACCUCCCACACCUAGCGCCCAUCGUUUACGGCGUGGACUAC
rnacentral:misc_RNA from 1 species